rnacentral:rRNA from 1 species
UCAAGAAAUUUAAACCCCCNCCCACUUAAAAGGGGNACCUUAGUUCCCUUCCAAGGGUUUUAAAANGAAUUUNGGCCCCUUNCSCYAAACACAUKCAAGUCGAAACGAAAGCUUCUUUUUCUUCGGAUGAAGAAGUYUUAGUGGCGAACGGGUKCGUAACGCGUUGGUWACCUKCCCCAAAGAAGGGGGAUAACAAGUUCGAAAGGACUUGCUWAUUCCCCCAUUCGAUCAUCAGGGUCAGAUACUUGAUGAUUAAAGGAGUAWYCCGCUUUGGGAGGGGCCUGCGUCCCAUCAGCUAGUUGGUAGGGUAAUGGCCUACCAAGGCGAUGACGGGUAGGGGACCUGAGAGGGUGGCCCCCCACACUGGCACUGAAAUACGGGCCAGACACCUACGGGUGGCAGCAGUAGGGAAUAUUGGACAAUGGGCGAAAGCCUGAUCCAGCAACGCCGCGUGCACGAUGAAGGUCUUCGGAUUGUAAAGUGCUUUUAAGGGAGAUGAGAAAGGACAGUAUCCCUUGAAUAAGCCUCGGCGAACUACGUGCCAGCAGCCGCGGUAAUAC